rnacentral:rRNA from 1 species
UUCAGAGGAACCUGUCCUAUAAUUGAUGAUCCACGAGUUAAUUUACUUAUUUUAUUAGUUUAUAUAUCGCCGUAGUUUGAAUAUUUUUAUAGAAUAAUAAUAUUCAAUAUUUUAAAAUUAAAAAAAAAUCAGGUCAAGAUGUAGUUUAUAAAUAAGAAGAGAUGGGUUACAAUAAAUAUAUUUAAAUGGAUUAUUUAUUUAAUAAUAAAUAUGAAAGUGGAUUUGACAGUAAUUUUAAUUAAAUUAUUAAAAUGAUUUUAGCUCUAAAAUAUGCACAUAUCGCCCGUCAUUUUCACUAUAAAGUGAAACAAGUCGUAACAUAGUAGGUGUACUGGAAAGUGUACCUAGAAAGACAAAUUAGAGCUUGUUAUAAAGCAUUUUAUUUACAUUAAAAAGUUUAUUGUGAAAAUCGAUAUAAUUUGAGUUUUAAUAUUUAUUUAAAUUUUUAAUUUUAUUUUAUUUUAAUAAAUUAAUAUUAGGUUUUAUUAUAAAUUAGAAAAAAUUUUUUAAAUUAUAGUUUAUUAGUAUUGUGAAAGAAAAUAUUUAAAUUUUUAAAAGAAUAAUUAUUUUUUAGUACCUUGUGCAUCAGGGUUUAUUAAAUAAAAAUUAAUUAUAUUGAUUUUCUCGAAUUUAAAAGAGCUAUAAAAAUAUAUUUUUUAAUGUAUUAUAAUUAUUAAUAAUAUUUUUAUAGAAAUGAAAUGUUAUUCGUUUUUAAAUAUAUCUAGUUUUUUAAGAAAUAAAUUUAAUUUAAUUAAUAUAAAUAUUUUAUUAUAUGUUUAAUUUAAUAUUAAUAUUAUUAAAUAUUUUAAGGGAUGAGCUUUAAAAUAUAAAUUUAUAAAUAAAUAUAUUAUUUGAAUAAGUAGGAUUAUAAAUUUUCAUUUUUAAUAGUAUGUUAUAAUUAUUUCAAAUUUAAAUAUAAUUUAUAUUUAUUUUAAUUUUUUUAUUAAAAUAUUAAUUUAAAUUUUUUUAAUUAAGUAAUAAUGAUAAAAUUAGUAUAAUUUUUUGUAUAAAAACAUGGUCUUUUGAUUAUAAUUUAAGAUCUAACCUGCCCAAUGAAAAUUUUAAUGGCCGCGGUAUUUUGACCGUGCAAAGGUAGCAUAAUCAUUUGUUUUUUAAUUGAAAGCUGGAAUGAAAGGUUGAAUGAGAAAAUAACUGUCUCUGUUUAAUUUUAUUAGAAUUUUAUUUUUAAGUUAAAAAGCUUAAAUUUUAUUUGAAGACGAGAAGACCCUAUAGAGUUUAAUAAUUAGAAGUUUAAUUGUUUUAGAAUUAAUUUUUUUUAAAUGAAAUAAUUAUUUAAUUGGGGUGAUUAAAAAAUUAACUUAACUUUUUUUGUAUAAAAACAUUAAUUUAUGAAUUAUUGAUCCUUUAAAAGAUUAUAAGAAUAAAUUACCUUAGGGAUAACAGCGUAAUUUUUUUUUAGAGUUCUAAUCGAAAAAAAAGAUUGCGACCUCGAUGUUGGAUUAAAAUUAAUUUUUGGUGUAGAAGUUAAAAAAUUGGGUCUGUUCGACCUUUAAAAUUUUACUUGAUCUGAGUUCAAACCGGUGUGAGCCAGGUUGGUUUCUAUCUCGAAUUAGUUAAAAUAUUUUAGUACGAAAGGAUCAAAUAUUUAAUUAAUAAUUUAUUUAUAGAAUAAUAUUAAUAAGUUAUUUUGGCAGAUUAGUGCGAUAGAUUUAGAAUCUUUAUAUGUAAAUUUUACAAAUAAUACUUGAUAUUAAAAGAUUUAAUAUUAAUAAUAAUUUCAAGAUUAGUUUUAGCUUUAUGUGUUAUAAUUGGAGUAGCAUUUUUAACUUUAUUAGAACGUAAAGUUUUAGGAUAUAUUCAAAUUC